GUCUUUGUAGUAUAACAAAAUACCCCGGUCUUGUAAACCGGAAAAGGAGAACCCCACCCUCCCCAAGACU